UCGAUUGGCUGACAGCGGAGGGAUCAUUACCGAGUUUACAACUCCCAAACCCCUGUGAACAUACCUAUACGUUGCCUCGGCGGAUCAGCCCGCGCCCCGUAAAACGGGACGGCCCGCCCGAGGACCCCUAAACUCUGUUUUUAGUGGAACUUCUGAGUAAAACAAACAAAUAAAUCAAAACUUUCAACAACGGAUCUCUUGGUUCUGGCAUCGAUGAAGAACGCAGCAAAAUGCGAUAAGUAAUGUGAAUUGCAGAAUUCAGUGAAUCAUCGAAUCUUUGAACGCACAUUGCGCCCGCCAGUAUUCUGGCGGGCAUGCCUGUUCGAGCGUCAUUUCAACCCUCAAGCUCAGCUUGGUGUUGGGACUCGCGGUAACCCGCGUUCCCCAAAUCGAUUGGCGGUCACGUCGAGCUUCCAUAGCGUAGUAAUCAUACACCUCGUUACUGGUAAUCGUCGCGGCCACGCCGUUAAACCCCAACUUCUGAAUGUUGACCUCGGAUCAGGUAGGAAUACCCGCUGAACUUAAGCAUAUCAAGGCCCCGGAGAGAAA
rnacentral:rRNA from 1 species